UGUCAGCAUGUACGCAUCACUUUUACGUUGGACUGCCGCUGCAAAGAAGUCACGUGCCCAUCCCCAUUUUGUGUUUUUGUGCUGCUCACAUUCCAACUGGAACAUCACCCGGAAGACGGCGAUGACCAACCGAACUACAUCUAUUGAUCCACUGAUCCAUAGCCUAUUUCGUCUGGGUGUGUGCCACAUCAUGUAGAGGAGGAAGAAGAACAACAACAACCGAACUACCGCUCCAUCCAUUUUGUCACAACUGCCACCGCUGUCACAGAGUGCCCACGAACCAGCUCGAUAUCCGACCAUUCUUCCUCCUAAAGGUCUUCAAGAUCCUCCAGUCUAGAGUAGGAGAUCCACCAUAAGCAAUGCUGCCGAGACACAAAGUGCCGUCCAAGAAUGCGGCUCGCAGCGACAUGCGAGCACCGCCGCGUCGCACCGUUGACGGAGAGAACGCCCGUCCUGCGACGUCGACUUCAAGGGCGUCACGUGCCCUGGUAAGAAACAGCUCAACCCAAUCGGAGUCCAACACUGCCUUUCGCAAGGGCUGGCGGUCAACGGUGAUGGCCUGCGUGAUCUUACUAGGUCUCUUGAUGGUCAUGGCUUUCGGUGCAAUUACAGCCCUGUUGGUUCUCUUCGCUUUCAGGAGCCCAGAAUCACCAUUUGCGGGAGUCUUACGACGAAUGAAGGUCGGAACCCCAGUCAACGUCACCAAAGACCUGGUGGCUUCCAAUACCGCUUCAGAAGUCACCACGCGGAACACAACCCACUUUUUGGAGAGUACAGGGGCUGACGAACAGGCUGUUCCUCUAUAAUGUCAUCGACGAAUAAUUUUUUUUUCCCUUUCGGAAACCAGCUACUGCGUCCCGUAAUACUUCAUCAUUUUGAUAUCACAUUUAUAGGUUUGUCCCUCAACCGCGUAUAUGUUUGUGCGUGAACUAGUACAGUUGUAACGUACCGACAACGGUACCAAGGACAACGGAUUUACGUGCUCCUGAUAAAAUGUGCCUGUAUCUAAACGACAAGAAAAGUACUUAACGCGGGAGACGAGCUCAAAAUAACUUUCUCCUGUGCCCAAUAUACUGUCAGUGAUGGA